rnacentral:rRNA from 1 species
AACGAACGCUGGCGGCAGGCUUAACACAUGCAAGUCGAACGCCCCGCAAGGGGAGUGGCAGACGGGUGAGUAACGCGUGGGAACAUACCCUUUCCUGCGGAAUAGCUCUGGGAAACUGGAAUUUAUACCGCAUACGCCCUACGGGGGAAAGAUUUAUCGGGGAAGGAUUGGCCCGCGUUGGAUUAGCUAGUUGGUGGGGUAAAGGCCUACCAAGGCGACGAUCCAUAGCUGGUCUGAGAGGAUGAUCAGCCAAAUUGGGACUGAGACACGGCCCAAACUCCUACGGGAGGCAGCAGUGGGGAAUAUUGGACAAUGGGCGCAAGCCUGAUCCAGCCAUGCCGCGUGAGUGAUGAAGGCCUUAGGGUUGUAAAGCUCUUUCACCGAUGAAGAUAAUGACGGUAGUCGGAGAAGAAGCCCCGGCUAACUUCGUGCCAGCAGCCGCCGUAAAAC